GUUAACGAGCCCUGAAGAUUAAGAAAGGCGGAGGAAGGACACGGAGGAUAAAAAGGAGGAGGAAGAACGAAGAGAGGAAAUGAGAGAUAAAGAAAAUAAGGGAAACUGGAUAAAGAUAAUAAAUAAAAAGAGAAAAUGGUGGAGAGAAUAAAUAAAUAACGGAAUGGAAGACAAAAAAAGAUAAUAUGGAAGACAGGGACGGUGGCCGGGUGGUUAGCGUGCGGGCGUGGUGAGCAACGUUACCAUAUUGUCGUACUCAGCCUCCUCUGUUUGCUGAUUUCCGACCUAAAAAUUGUCUCCUCCACCCCCAAAACUGGCUUCAUAUAAAAUUAUCGAUAAAAUGGUUAAUUAUUGGUAUUUCUUGGCAACAUUUAUGGGCCAGAAACCGGUAAAUACGGGGCUCUGAGUACGAUAAUCUGGCAACGGUGGUAGUGAGCUCGUGAACCAAGGUUAGAGUCCCAUCGAAACACACUGCUCGGUAUUAUAAGUCAAUUUCUCUUCUCAUGUCAGCUAUUUCUCAAGGUCAAAGAAGGGGUCACUCGGGUUUUAAUGAGUGUUUUUUCAGUUUCGGAGUACAGAGGAAGGGUCACACUACCACCAGGGUCAUAAAACUACCCCUGGAAAUGCCCACAACUCCUACGAAAGCCUUGUCAAAUAUGUGUUUCUUUAGGUUCACGGUACAGAAGAAGGGUCAAACUACCACCAGGGUCAUAAAACUACUCCUGGAAAUGCCCACAACUCCUACGAAAGCCUUGUCAAAUAUGUGUUUCUUUAGGUUCACGGUACAGAAGAAGGGUCAAACUACCACCAGGGUCAUAAAACUACCCCUGGAAAUGCACACAACUCCUACGAAAGCCUUGUCAAAUAUGUGUUUCUUUAGGUUCACGGUACAGAAGAAGGGUCAAACUACCACCAGGGUCAUAAAACUACUCCUGGAAAUGCCCACAACUCCUACGAAAGCCUUGUCAAAUAUGUGUUUCUUUAGGUUCACGGUACAGAAGAAGGGUCACACUACCACCAGGGUCAUAAAACUACUCCUGGAAAUGCCCACAAC